rnacentral:rRNA from 1 species
GGUCCACCUGCCCAGUGACACUAUGUUCAACGGCCGCGGUAUUUUGACCGUGCUAAGGUAGCGCAAUCACUUGUCUUUUAAAUGAAGACCUGUAUGAAAGGACUAACGAGGGCUGAGCUGUCUCCUUUUUCCAGUCAAUGAAAUUGAUUUCCCCGUGCAGAAGCGGGGAUGAACACAUAAGACGAGAAGACCCUGUGGAGCUUAAGGCCCCAGCAAAGUCCAUGUUAAUGAAGUCUUUAUGAGGACUACAAACUAAAUGAAUACUAGUGCUGGGCCUUCGGUUGGGGUGACCAUGGGGUAGAAACAGCCCCCAGGCGGACAGGGAACACUGAAGGAAUUUAACCAUAAACACAUAACUCCACUCCUCAAAACAAGAGCCUCAACUCUAACUAACGAAAUUUUCGACUCAAAGUGAUCCGGGUGAUACCGAUCAACGAACCAAGUUACCCCAGGGAUAACAGCGCCAUCCCCUUUUAGAGCCCAUAUCGACAAGGGGGUUUACGACCUCGAUGUUGGAUCAGGACAUCCUAAUGGUGCAGCCGCUAUUGAGGUUCGUUCUCAACGA